GUCAUCUAAUUAGUGACGCG
rnacentral:ncRNA from 2 species